rnacentral:lncRNA from 1 species
CUUGUCAUUCAGGGCCUGACUCCUGCAGUGCUGUCCACAUCUGGCUUUUCUCUGCUCUGGUUACGGCCUCUUCUAAACAUGCUCCUGGUGGCACAGUGAAGGCUGGGUGAUCUUUUCCUCCCUUCCCCUCCUGCUCAUUUCCAGAGUUCAGAAGAGAACCUCAUUCUCCUUGUGGCAAACUUUUCUUGGUGCACCCUCAUUCUUAAGCCCCUCAGGUGCCCCCUCCACCUGUCCUUAGAAACUGAGCUCCCUCCAAGCACACCUUAGCCAUUAUGGCAUGGAGUCCACCUACUUCCUGUCGAGAAGUAGAGAAGCUCUGGGGGCACAGUGGUGUCCACUCCUAGUCCCAAGUGUUAUUUGUAUGAAUGUGUUACUUUGCACACAGAAGGGUCUUUGCAAACGUCAUUAAGGUUACUGAUCAGUUGACUUUCAGUGAGGAGAUUGUGCUAAAUUAACCCAGUAGACGAAUUCUAAUCCCAGGGACCCUCUAAUGCAGAGAACUUUCUCUGAUUGGAUCAGAGGCGCAGAAGAGAAGAGUCAGAGAGAUCCUGAGCGUGCGGAGAGCUUGAUGCAGUGCGGUUGGAUCUGCCAUGUGGAGCCUCACAGGCAUGGACUGAUUUCUAAGGUGACCCUCAGCCAAGAGCCAGCAAAGAAGUAGGAUCUGCCUGCAGGGAACCCAGGUUGGCAAUAACACAAAUAGGCUUGAAGAGGGCCCCUUCCGAAGCCUCCAGGUCAGAGCCAGCUUGACCCUUACCCUAAGUGCGGCUUUGAAGCCUGACUCAGAGACAGCAGAUACCCAGCUCACACCCGAUGGCCAGAGCCGUGAUCUUGUGAGUGUGUGAUUUUAAACCGUGGAAUGAGCGUAACUUGUUACAGUGGCUGUAGAAAACAGACACAGGACCCUAGUGGCUGGGAACAGGUUCUGGGCCCCUCUCCUGGGGUCUUUGCUUGUUCCUGAGGAUCCUCACACAUCCAAGCACAGGUCCCACAGUGAACAGAUUCUCCCUUCCCCCUUCCCAUCUGCAGUCGACACUCAGUGGGUUUUACCCCUCUGCUCCCUGGACCUCAGUUCAGACCCCUGGGGUGUUUUAGCAGCUUCCUGUGGGUCUCCCAGCCCUGGGCCCCCUAUUUCCAGCUGCCCCCCACUAAUGCAGCUCUGCUCUCAGGACUCAUUCCUCCCCGACAGGCAUCCUGCGCUUUGCCUCUUCUCAGUGAAACAGGUAUAGGUCCAGCAGCCUAAAAUUCACAGCCUUUCGUAGGGAAGGGAGCAUGACAUCUCCGUCCUCACCUCCCAGGACUCUCUCUUGGGCAUUUGCAUUCUUGUUUUGUCCCCUGCAUUUUCUCAGCCCCAGGAUUCUUGGGAGUCCUGCAGGGAAGGAGUCCCCAACCCUGGGCCAUGGACUGGUACUGGUCCAUGGCGUGUUAGGGAACCAGGCUGCGUGGCAGGAGGCAAGCAGCUGGAGAGGGAAGCUUCCCCUGUAUCUACAGCUGCUCCCGCCCCCUUGCCUGAGCUCCGCCUCCCCCUCCUGUCAGAUCAGCAGGGCAUUAGGUUCUCCUAGGAGCUCAAACCCACCCUGAGCUGCACAUGCAAAGGGAUCUAGGUCGCGUGCUCCUUUGAAUUAUCCUGAAACACCCUGCCCCCACUUUGUGGAAAAAUUGUCUUCCACCAAACCAUCCCUGGUCCCAGAAAGUUUGGGGACCACUGCUGUAGGGCCCUGCCCGUGGGCCAUUGAGUCCCAGCAGGCUUCCAGGAAGCCGCAGAGCUGCCGCCCUUGAGAUGUGUGGUGCCAAGCUCAGUGUCCCUGUCACACCCUAAGUGACCUGAGUAGGGCCUUCCACCAUCCCAGCUCGGUGUGUGCACAGUGCUUAGGAGUCCUGAGCAUACCUAUGCUCACACGCUGACUGGGGUACAUCCCACCGGAAGGAGAAAGGCAAGCUUAUCAUGUUAGGCACAGUGCCUGAAUCACUCAUUAAAUAGCUCUUAAAUGAGUAUUUCAUGAAUUCCUUUUGCUGUAUUUUGAAAUAGAUGCCCCAAGUACUGGAAAAGAUCCUCAGUAUUUUUAGCACACUUUUCCUGUUACAGUGUUUCUGGGUAUAGCGGCUGCUUAUGCUGAGUUUGAAGGGUGGUCCAAACUUGGCAGGUGUGUUACUGUGUUUGACAGAGUAAGACUAUUGCAUUGCUGUCAGGAUAAUUGCUAACACAUAUCAAGCACCUGUGAUCUCCAUGAGUUAGGUCAGUUAACCCUUACAGCAGUGCUUCUGACGCUGGAUUAUCCAUGUCUGGAGUGUUAUGGAUGAGGAAUCCAGAGUGCAGAAAGGUGAAGUGAUCUACUCAAGGUUAUGCAGCUGGCUGAUAGCAGAGCUGAUUUCCUUCCCAGCCAGUCGCAGUUCCACUCCUUCUAUGGCUACCAUUUCGUCCUUUGAUCAGAGGCAGGAAAACCCCCCAUUCUCGAUCGAAAAUCAUCAUUAGCAUUAUUUCUACAGUUCAUCACUAAUCUGCAACACCUCACAUAUGCACCGGGCUUUGAAAGGCUUUGCUCUUUGUUCUCUUAGCAGAGGGCGGCGGGAGGCUGGUGGGUGGGGCAAGGGCGAUUCUGUGUCCUGCAUGUGUCCCGAGUAGAAGGACCACGUCCGAGUCACAGCUGCACUGAGUCCCCCGAUGCGGAGGACUGAGGCCCAUCUCAGGCGCGGAUGCCCCCCAACCCUGCCCUCCAGGAACACAGCCCGCCCACCUGUGCCCUGGGCUGCUCCCACCCACGCCGGAGGGCUGGCCACGGAGCCCCCUCCUUGGAAGUGAGGCCUGGGCUGGGGACGAGGGCACAGCAUUUCCCUGCAAUCUUGAUCUUUGGCCUGUGGGUUUGUCCUUGGCGAGGGUCUGAGGGUCUGUCCUCAGUUGUGAUAAGAGGUCUCGCCUUUCUUUCUUCCCUCUGCUUUCCCCGAGCCAAGGAAACAUGGAAUCGGGAGGGAAAAUGGCUUCUCCCUGUUGCACCCAAGAACAGCCUGCUGGAGUCUGUGCUGAGGCUGCUGGGUGGGAGGCCCGGCCUGUCCUCAGAGGCCACGUCUGCAGCGAGGUUCUGCAGACCGAGCCAGUGCACAGCCCGGGGCCUCCCGGCUGUCUGGGCCCUGGUGGCCCCACAGGCCUUCCCCUGUCCCGAGUGCGCCUCCAGAACACACCGUGUCUUUGGCCCGGAACGGCCUCCCGCUGGGGAGCCUCGUGUCUCCCACUCCCUGUCUCGUCCACCUCCCAUCCUGUGUGACUUCAGUCAGGAUGCAGGGAAGUCCUUCCCUCAAGUGAAGACAGCCGUCCAGGUUUUCAGCCUGGGUGUUGACUUCCUCUCGAAUCCCCAGUGCUUGGACACAAGGUCAUGGACCGCACUAGAGGAGGUGAGAUGGGCUGUGCAUUAGACAGGGCUGACGUCAAGUUCAGGCUGGGCUCGGGCGGCUGGCUGUGUGGCCCUGGGCAAGCUCCUUCACCGUGAGGCUCCUUCGUCCCCGUUGGAAGCAGGAGGAAAUUGCCCCAGCAAGGCCUGAGGGACUAAAAGAAGGCAGAGGAGGGCCACCUUCCUAGAUGCCACCUCAUUAGAUGGUGGCCCGGCAGGAGGGGUUCAAGAAGCCAGAGUGAGGCGGGAGGAGGAAACGAAGUGAUGUGACCAAGUUGUUUUGCACUGCAAAGGCACCAGUGCAAAUAGGCCACGAUCCCAGAUCCCAGAGCUCGGCCCUGAGUCCUGAGGCCGUGUGCAAGGUGAACCGGACUCCCGUCUUUGUGAGGUCAAGGCCAGUGGGCAGCACCCAUGAGGACAGGGGACCUGGCCAUGGGCUCAGAGUGCCGAAAGCAGCUGGAGUCCUCAGCUUAGUAAACACGGGGCGCCAUACUCUGGCUUCCCUGUGCCUUGUUUGUCACCUGAGGAAAGACCGUCAGCCUCUGCCUGGCUCUCAGGGUACUGUAGGGGUUAGAUGAGGUCGCGGGUGCACACAGCUACAGUAGUGCUUGGUGUGCAGAGUGUGCGGGCAUUAGUUACUAUUGUCACUGACUGGCCCUCUCGGCCGGUUGUGUGUGCGUUUGUGGCUCUUUCCCGUGGGAAUGCGAACACUUCGCAGCUUUGGCGUGAUGGCUUGUCUGGCUCCCUCCCUCUGUUCUGGAACAAGAGCUCAGUGUGUUCUGAGAAACCUGCAGCAUCGCCCCAGGAGUUUAUCAACAGCAGGAACUCGGGGGCCUUCCCAGAGUCUCAGCGCCAGAUGCCAGUGCCGGGCCCUGUCUGUCUCGGCCCCAGCAGGCGCUGCGCAGCAUGUGGUGUUCACUACGUGCUGUGCGCCCUGUCUCCCCAGGGGAAGCAGGACAUUUGGGGCAGGAUGAGGGUGGAGUGGAUCAAUUAAGGUGGGGUCUUUGGCUGAACUUUACCCUGGGUUUAUGGAGCUUGGAAACACAAAAAAGGUUGCAUUCCUUUCUGUGGAACUGCUUAAUCCACACGCGCACUCUCCAGACAGGGCUGCUGCUUGGUGCCAGCGGCUUCUCCCAGCACUGCUUGCUUCCAUUCCAAAGUGGGAAGGGAGAGCUUUAGAGGGCCAGGUGGGUACUUCCUGGGCCCUCGCACUUAGGCCAUUUGUACCUAAGAUGCAACAAAGAAUCCCCAGCCGGCUUGAAACUGUCUCAUGCUAGUGCUGGUGUUCAAGUGCUGCUUCUGUCGUGGCCAUGCCUAACAGCAGCCAGCCAGGGCUUGGUGCAGACUGGACAGUCUGAGCUCAGGCUAUAUGCCUAGCACACACAUGGCCUUGGGCUCAAUCCCCAGCACCACCCCCCCCCAACAAAAACAGAAAACCCGAGUUCAAGUCCUGACUCAGAUGCUUAGCUCUGUUGCUUUUCUUCAGUAACGUAACAUCGUGGGCCCUCCCCUCUUCCAUCGGUAAAGCCAUGUGGUGAGGUGACAGAAAUGGCCCAGUGCUUCACUCAUUCUUGUAACUUGCACAGUGCCCAGUCACGUGAUUCAUUAGACUGCGCUGUUAGCAGACACCUUUGCAGCCGAGCUUGGAAAGUGUUUUGUUUCUACUGUUGAACCUUUUCCAUCAGCAAGAAAGGGGUAUUUCUGGGACAGCCCUUGGGCUCCAGCAGAGGGGUGAUUGUAUGUACAAUGUAACCAGGGUGCUGUGUCUGAUCUUGGACAAGUACACAGUGAGUCACGCCCUGGACCCCUGAGUGAGCCCAGCAGAGUUCAUCUAAGCUGACCACUCGGUGAGUGACACCUGAUACUUAUGCCACUGAGGUUUUGUUACACAGCAUUGUUUUGGUGAUUGAUACAGCAGGAAUGUCACUUAUAACUCUUGGAUGGCUUGAAUUCUGUAAGAGCAGGAUGGUACCCUGUGGACUGCCCAGUCCUUCAAAUCCGUGUUGACUGAGUGAUCUAAUAAAGAGAAGUUUGUAACCCUCUGCGGUUCUGUCUGGCAUAACACCGGUUCCCUCUGCUUACAGCAUCUCUGAUUGGGGUCACUGCUGUUUCCCAUCCACUUGGUAUCCAGCAAAGGCAGACAGAAAGACAGAAAGACAGAGGAAAUUGGAGACUGAGUAGCUAGGCUCUGGUUUUAUGCACAAAGCGAAGGCUCAGUAAGUCUUACUUGCUCCCCUGAAUACUUUGGGUCCCGAGUCCCAUGGCAAGCCUGGUAAUUCCUCAAGGGAAAGCGACUUGGAGCACAGCACAGUGAGCUGGACAGAGAGUGGUGCCUGUGUCGGGUGCUCGGUCUGUAGCAGGCACUUCUUGUCCGUCCAUUCUUGUUUGAUUCUGCAGAGAGGAAUUGAUCUGGAGGUAGAAACUCCGCUCAGAGACAGGAAGCGAGCAAGCAGAUGCACACCGCUGGCAAGGUAGCUGACGAACUCUGGAGUCCAGGGCUGCUCUGCAGCCAAGAAUAGCUUCUUUAAGCCCUUCCCUGCAGGCGGGGACCCUGGCCAGCAUCCAGGCCACACUCUGUGCAAGCCAAGCAGGGAUCCUGCCUGGUGGAGGUGACUGGCCAGCUCAAACUGCACAGUUGUCGGCGUGGCCAGGUUGCUGGGCGCCUCCUUCAGUGCCGCUGGUGUGACUCGGACCUUGUGGGUGAGUGAGCCUCACCAAAGUGCCUGGAUCUGGUUUCCACGAGGGUCUGAAUGGCGUUGGCUCUCCAUCUGCAAGGGUGCGCUGUCCAUCCUGAGCCCUGGGUCCUCUCCGGCUGCCUUUCAGGGAUCCUGGCCGAGUCAGCAGGACCAUAGGGCCGGCUGGCGGCAGGGCAGUGUAUCCUGACCACCAUCCUGGGCUGAGGAGCGAAGCCCCAGUCCGGUCCCCUGUCCCUGGCCUGUCCUCCCCAGCCUGCCAGCUCCAAGGGCGGGAAUGGGGCCAGCGCCGGGAGCUUCUCGGGCUUCUGCUCCUGCUGGCACUGGCUGGGCAGGAGCUCUGCUUGGCUGGCUGCCCUGGGCACUUGCCACCCUUGUGUGUUUGCUUGGCCAUCGGGGUGAGGAAGCAGGAUGCUUUCCAUUGGACCCUGGGCGUUCCGGGCUUCAGGGGCCAGCGGCCAGCCAGGGCGGGAUCUGCCAUCCGUGCCUCCGUCUGUCCUCUUUGUCCCUCUCCCUCUCCUACCUGGCAGGCAGUUCAUAAUCCCGCCACCACCAGAUGCAGCGGGGGAGCAGGGGGAGGCCCACUGCUGUGCAGAGCAGGAACACUGGUGAGGGCCGCCCGAGAGCCUGCCUCAGGCACCUCCAGCCUCGGAGGGAGAGGGACUGUGGCACCCCGGCACCCUUCUCCCACGCCCAGCUGCACCAUUCCCAGACCAUCUGGGCCUCGUCCACAGCGUUUGUUUGAGUGGUGGUGAGACCUCUGGCACCACUCUGCCUGUCUUUGGUUAGAGCAGACAUAGGGAUGAUUUACAAUCACCCAGGAUCUCAGCAUGACUUCCUGUUAGGGUCAGGGAGAGACGCACUCCUGGGCCGUGCUACCUUGCUGAGACAGAGGCUGGCCAUGGAGAGAGCCACUGGUGCCCUGUGAGUGGCAUAUUCCCAGGAGCCCCAUGUUCUGGGUGGGGUAACUGAGGCCAGGAGCACUGGAGCCCUACACAGGGCCUUCCCGGUAGGGUAGGCAGAGAGCACACGGAAGGAAGCCGGGCUCCCCUCCCCCUCCCAAAGCAGCUUGCGUUCCCGCUGUCUGGCGCGGGCGGGCAUUGUAGUACCCCUGGGCUUUGCUGAGGGUGCCUGCCCUCAGAGGGAACCUGGGGUGCCAGGGCUGUGGACACGGAGAGAAAGGCCUUUCUGGUCCUUGGCUCUAGGCUCGGCUCCUACGUUUUUCAGACAGGAAGGUCCCCAGGGCCAUGAUCGCCCCGCCCCACAGAGGACAGCAGAGCUGGGAGGUGAACGGGACACUGCCAUGCCUCUGGUUCACUGAGUGCCGAGGAGUGCAGGGGAUGUGCUCAGCUUUCUCCCAGCCCCGCAGCCCACAGCCUCUGUCCCCACGAGGAGACCUCAUGCGGAACGCACUCUGAGGAGAGCCUGGACGGGCGGAGGGAAGGACCUGCCCUGAGUGCCUCCUCACUGUGCUGUCUGAAGCCGUGGGACCCACCAGCCGCCUGCCUCAGGGCCUCUCUGUAAGUAGGGAUGCCAGAGUACCCAGUUCCGGCCCUGCAGAGGGCAGCGUGGAAGCCUCCUCGAUGCCCACUGCGGAUGUGGUUGCUUGGUGGGGAGUCUGCACCCCGGGAUGCUCAGGAGCCAGCUGACCCCGCGCCCUGCUGGUGUGGUCCCCUGUCCCACUGCCUGUCUGCCUCUGUUCCCCAGCUACAGAGCCAGGGGAGGAAGGGAAUCUUCCUAUAAAAUUUGAGAAACUCAGAUAUGCAGAAGAAAACUGAAAGUACUUGUUAUUCGCCUGAUAGGUACAGCCAGGAGCACACAGGUGCACACAAAAUGUCCAGGCAUCCUAGAGUAGCCAGUGUCUAAGCUACAUAUAUUUGGUAUGUUUAUUACCAUUCAUAUACAUCUUAUCCACACAUAUAUAAUGCCUGUUGUAUACAUUUCAUUUCCUGUUGGACAUUCCUUAUACAGGAUGUGAAAAAUAAUAAAGAAUAGGCGCCAGUGGUCAUAGUAACCAGUUUUCACCACUUAACCUGAGGUGGACUUUUCUCCUCUUAGGAGAUUUUUCUGCAGGGAGCAUUUGCGGCACCCGGCAUAUCACCAUAUGGAUACACCGCACCCACCUUACAGAGGAGGGGUGGAAGCUCUGAGAAGCGACACACCUGGCCUCCCCAGAUCACCCAGCUCUCGGGGCACAGCUGACACCCAGGCCUUCUCCGUGGAGGUUUCUGUGGUUCCAGGGACAGAUUCAGCAGGAAUCUAAAUCCUGUGAGAACAGGGCCCUGGGUUCCCCCAUCACCGGCAUCUCCCUGCACCUGUCACCUGUCACCAGGCAGGUUUCCUGUUAGUUACUGAGUCAACGAAAGCAGGGACUUAAAUCCCUUUCCUUUCCUGCUCAAAGCCCCUCACUGUUCGGCGUGCCUUCCCGUGUGGACCCCUUGCUAGCCUGUGUACCUCGCAAGCCUGGGACCGUGUCCGGCGACCUUUCAGUCUGAGGCCCCAAUCCCAGCCUGCCCUGCAGCAGGUGCUCCCUGAACGACAGUGGAAUAUGGAAGCAGCAGUCCAUUCUGAGCUUUGGGCCAUGCUUUCCCCACACAGUCUUUCCGACCUCUUUUGUCACACAGAGGUUAAGUUACCUGGACUCACCACGUUGGCAGCAGUCUGCCUACUACCGUUGGUCCAGGAGGAGUUGGAUGUCUGCCCCUGCCAGUCACCUGGAGCUGGCACACCUGGGUUGUUCCGGGGCAGAUCCGAUGGCCCAGGGUUAAGUAGCACCUGGAAUGGUUAUGUGGCCAGGCACCUCCCCGUGAGUCUCCCGAGUGGCUUGGCGGGUGGCUGGCAAGGGAGGGACCCUUGGCACCGCUGCCCCUUUGUAUCAGCUGCCAGCAGGGCCUUUGAUGUACACAGAGGCCACCUGCCAGCCAAGUGCACUGUGGGACACGGGCACUGGGAGGAGGGGAACUACCCAGGACCCGCCAGAGGGCUCCUCAGCCGCCACUACCAUCUGGUACAGCAGUGGGAUGGCUCGGGAGCAUUUCCCCAUCUUGCAAGGAUGGAGAUGCUGCACAGAACCCCAGUAUUGUGGAUGAGGUAUUAACCUCAAAGCAAGGUGGGGCCUCUCACUGUUCGAGCUUCCUUCCUUACAUGUUAGACUGACACAAGCAGACCAAACUCCAUAGUCCGUCUGAUGUCCUUGUGGGCAUUGAAUGCAUUAAUAUAUUUAAGGCGCCCAUAGUGUGUGUGUGAAUCCAGUAAUAGCAGCACCUAAUACUUACGGAGCACUUAAACACUGCAUUAAUUGCUUCAAUCUUCAUAACUAGGUAGUACUAUUGUCCGCACUUUAUAGAUGAGAAACUAGAGCUCAGAAAUGUGGAGUAACUGCUGCAGGAUCACACAGCCCAACCAAAGCCAGUCCAGAGUUCAGUCCCCAUGGUCUGGUCGGAGACACUGCCUUGCUGUGCGUUGCCCCCGUGACUCAGAUGGUACGCUUCGCUUCUCUGCUUAUCAUGACGGUAAAGACGGCCACCACGAUGGCAGAUGACCACGACGGUGGUGGUGGUCACGGCCCGCUUGUGUCGCAGUUAUUUCUUGUUGGGAUUUUGAAUUCAUUGCAGUUGAUCCUCAGAGCGGGCCGGGAAAGUGAGUAAGUUUAAGGUGGGAGGAGAUCGGGCUUUAAGAGGGGGACCAGAGACCUAUUGAGCCACACUGUUGAGUGCAAGGCCAGGGUUGGGGAGGCAUGGGUGGGUGCAGAGGCCACAGGCCACCGGCUGUGUGUUGACACCAGGCUGCUGGGCCCCUGAGGCCGCAGCAUGGGGAGGAUGGGCGGUCACCCCCAAUCCUGCUGUCCUAUAGAAGUUGGGCUGGUCCCUAAGGACUGGAGCCGGAGGGCGUGUCUAGACCCCUGCAGACCCUGUCAUGAAGCUGGUGAGACCCAGCCACUGUCUACUGCGUGUGACAGCUCAUUGCCCUCCCGGAGCCCUGGGAUGCUCAUAUUGCUCUCCUGCAGACAUUCGGAUCUGUUGGAUCUGUUACUUACUGCCACAGCAAGGCCGAGUAACAGACAGCAGAACCCAGCUGGCUUUCAGUAGCAGGCAUUUAUGUUCACCCUCUCGGGGUGGUUGGCUGAGUGGUCCUGCCAGUCCCGCCAUGGGGCUGGGCUGCAUGCUGGCCAGUCAGAUUCCGCUGGAGUGACUGGGGUGUUUCUGCUCCCCCAUGACUUCCAUCUCUUUUCAGGUCCUGCAUUCUAGCCAGGGAAUAUCCUUUCAUGAGAGCAGAGCCCAAGAACUUAAUCACUCCUCACAGGGCAAGGCCUCUCCAUGCUUCUGCUGGACUCGCCUUUGCUGACCUGCUUAUUGGCAAAGGCAGAUCGCAGAGCCCAGCUCGAUGUCAGCAUAGGAGGACUCCACAGAGGACACGGUAGAGGGCAAAGAUGCAGGGGCAGGAGAAGUAUUGGGACCUUGUUUGCAGUGGAUCGCAGAUGAAGGCAUCUGAGGUGGCCCUGGGACUUGUCUGAGCUUUGCUGUCACCUUGACUUCAGAGUGACUGCCUCACUCAAGAGAAGAAGGGCACGAACAGGCCCUCAGCAGAGACUGCCUGCCUGGCAGUUCACCUAAAGAGAUGACAGUCCAAUUCCCUUGCCCAUGAGCACAGGGCUUUUCCAAGGUUGCCCGACUGAGACUUGGCUCUGCCAGCGUCAGUGUCACCCGCCUGUUCCCAGUGUCCCCAACUGUGAGAGACAGCCCCACCUGUGCCCAGGUCAUGGCAAGGCGUGGCCGUUCUGCUACCCAGUGCUGCUUGGGUGCUGGAGCCUGCCAGGAGCAGAAGCUGGAGAAGAGAAAAGCGUGACAUCUUCUUACAGCCUUGGUAGAGCCAUUGAUUUCCCAAAAGCAUCUUCCCCGGGUGGCCACCUGGAUGCUGGGACACAGUGGAGACUUCUUUGGGAAACACUGAGUCUUUAGAGAAAUUUUCUCAGUUAGCAGCCUCGUAGAGAAUUGAAGCCUUUGAGCCACAGGUUAGCUGGGGCUGCCCCAGUGAAGAUACAUUUCCAGCCUUGAGGAUGAAAACUUUAGUUGGAGCUCUGAUUUUGGAACUAACCUCUGAGUAAGCCCUUUGACUUAUGUAGUGGAGCUGUCUCUCCUUUUCCCUUACUUGCCCCCACGUCACAGACCCUAAGGAGAAUAAAUGCUGAAUUAAGUCUCUGACCCAUAGCAUCGUGGUGACUCCCUUAAGAACAGGGCUCCAUUGCCUGCAGACGCUAUGUGUCUCUUGCUUGCUUUCCCAUACCAAGAAGUCAAGUCUGAGGUUGGCUUCUGGCUGGGCAUCUGAUUUGUCAGCUUACCUCCUCGGCCUUGCUGAGUGGGAGCUUAAAGGUAGCAUCUCACACAUCUUUUAUCCUGACCUCUGGCCUUAUUGAAGUGCAGAGCCUUGAAUAGUAUAUUAGUCAGGUUCACUGUCAUUGGAACACAGUGUCUGAUAGAAUUUAAAGGAGAGGAGACUUAAUUUUAUGGUUUAUGGUUUAUGGUUUCAGGCAUUCAGUCCAUGGAUGGCUGGCUCCAAGGCAGAAACUUCAUGGUGGAAAUCCAGGCAGAACAAAGGUGCUUAGUUCCUGGCAACCAGAAAGAAAAGCAGGGAACAGUACCUGAAAAGAAGGUACAAGGGACCAGACAUAGUCCCUAAGGGCAUGUCUCCAUGAAGCACCCAGACAUAUACAGAAGUGUGGUCCACCAAACCCCCAUGUAGAUCCUAAAUCCCAAUAAGCUGACACUCCACCCUAACCUCCACAAAUGGAGAGAGGUAUGAGAUACGAGAUGUCUUCUUCCUCUUCUUCCUCCUCCUCCCCCCUCUCUUCCUCCUUCCCUUCUUUCUCCACUGUAUACUUUUUCUUUGGGAAAUAUAAACCUAGUUACUUAUUUUAUCAGGUGUAGAAAGAGAAUGCCUUUCCCUCUGCAAACACUAGCAUUCCCUUCCUCUAGAAAACUACUACUAAUCCUCGAGGACCUGAUGGAAUAAUUCCUUUUGCCAGGGGACUUUCCUCUUAGCUCCAUCCCCUGUAGGGUGGAGGUGCCCAUGGUUUAUUUUGGAAUAUCACAUCACCAGGGUUUUGUUCUUGUCCAGGUAGCCUUUAUUCUAUGUUCUGGCUUGUCUCAGUGUGGUGGUAGGGAGGUCCCGAAGCCCUCUGGGGGCAGUGAUGUGACUUCUUUAUUUCUGACCCCUGUGCUUACAACAGUGCUGAGUACAACAGGAAUGUCACACUUGUGUGUACAAGAUGGACAAACACAUGUGUAAGUAGUGACAGCUUUGGUCCAGCAAAGAUCUUGGGCUCCAGGCUGCUCAGCUGUGGCUUGGGACGUGGAAUGCCAACAGGUCACAUAGACAAGGCCCGCAUGCUUGGCAAAUGUGUGGGAAGCUGGAAAUGGUCCAGCCUUAAACUUUGACAGUCUCAGGUUUGAUCCCUUUCCCUGCCAGUGAGGUUGAAUAAUUCACUUUACUCCUGCCCCAUGCCUCAGUUUCACCAUCUGUAAAACAAAUAGAAAUGUUUGCUUUACUGGAUUUGUUGCUCUUCAAGUGAGAAGACUUGGUUAUGAAGCAAUCACUCCCUUUUACUUUCUGUGUGACUUUGUGUCACUUCCCAACUUCUCCUAUCUUAGUUCCUUCAGCUGGAUCAUGUGAUCACAGUGCCUGUCCUCCUGUAUUUCCACAGCUAAAGAAAUAGUGAGUGAAUGGUGGAUGGAAAAACACGCUGUAAAAUUCUCUGAGCUGGCCACUGUGUACCUCUCUACAAGAGGCCUGCAACCCUCUGGUUCUCGGGAGAGCAGCUCCAGCACCCCCAUCCCUGCUGAGGGGGCAAAGAGGGGAGGAGGCACACCGUGCAGUCAGGGUUUCCCGUGUGCCAUCUGACCAGUCCCUGCAGCAGUGUGCCAGGAGGCGAUGGUUUGUACAUAGUGCUGCAUGGUGCUCACCUGUCUCCUGAGUGACUGCUUGUUGGGGAGCUGGCCCAUGUAUGCAACAUGUAUUGAUCACUUUUGAUCCCUUUCCUUCCUUUCUCUCACCUCCCCCGUCCAGUCCCCACCCCCAUCCCCUGAGUCGGCCUUCUUGUUUCCUAUCAUCUGUCCUUUGUCUUACUCACUUAUUUACUUAUGUUUUAGGUUUCUCAUGUAAGAGAAACCAUGUAACAUUGAACCUCCUGUGUCAGGCUUAUUUCACUUAAUGUUACGGUCUCAAGUUCAUCCACUUUCCUGUGAAAUCCCUCUUACUUGUUCUCCCUUCUUGUGAAGAAGCUUUCAAUGAAACUUCACCUGUUAAGUGUUUAUUUUCUCACUUUGUUACCCAAACGUAUCUGCCAGUUGGAGUUUCUGAAUUGGGCUUCCAAGGCUGAAUUGAUGAAAUUCUGGCAAGUGUCAAAGCAAAGAAGCUUGAUCUUUUGUUCUGUUUAAAUUUUUAUUAGUGCAUAUGAAUUACAUAGAAUACCAAGUGGAUUUUAUGUUGGCAUAUUAAUCUACACAUGUAACGUGCUUUGAUAAUUUUCACCCUCUCAUUAUCACCUCCUCCUCCUCUCUCCCCUGUUCUCCUCAUCUCUGAUGGUCUUCAAGAAGCUUGAUAUUUUAGGUGACAAUUGUGGCCUUAUUGGAAAGCAAGGUUCAAUUUCUGGUAGAUUCCUUGACCGAGCCCGAGAAGACCCCGAGGGGAGUCCUGAGAUGCACUGGAUAACUGGCUUAAACUUUCAUCUUGUGCUUUGAAAUCAAGGAUUUGGAUGACGUGUUCAUGAAGGUUCUUUGAGCUCCAGACCUCUUCUCGCCACUUCCCCCACUCAGCCACAAGCAGCAUUUCUGGUCAGCUCGUGUUAUGUAGCAUUUGCCCUGUGCCUGGCUCGCGCCUGGCUCUUCCCUGGUAAGAGGGUGUUUCCCAGACAGCUGCCUGUCCACUGCAGCCACUUGGGGGAGGCUGAGAAAUAGGGCAUAAUUUCCAGCAAGAUUAAAUGCUAAGAGGGAAGUGGGGCAUCUAACGGGCUCUGGUGCUCUGUGGAUCAUUACGAGAAUGCUGUAAAUAAUCAGGUCGCCUUUUCCCAGCCCUGCCCACUUGGACCCUUUUAGGGUCAUUCCAUCCAUCCGUGGAUAGGGCUUGCUUCCCGCUAGCCACCUCCUUGGGGACAGAUCCAUUAGCACCCUGCUCGUAAUGGUAGGCUGCCGUGUCCUGCCGUGGAAGGUUUUCUGAGAAGGUGCAGGCUGUCUCGUUAGGCCCGGUGAGAGUGGCCCCUUCUGAAACCUUGUGCCCUCAAUAGCUGGGCUGGUCCUGGGCAGCCAAGCUAAUGCUCCUUGGUAGGAAGGGUGGCGGACCCCUCCCUCCUCCAGUGUCUUCAACCUGGGCCUCCGAGCACAGAGGGACCUGCUGAUCCUCAGACCCUGCGGAGAGGGGCGAGGGCAGGCCACUGUGGAGGGAGGGGCCCUGCUCUGCACCCAGUGCCCUCCUCUGGGCGGCCAGCAGCCCUUCUUUCUCCUGGCCACCGCAGGCCUCCUUGCCUUUGUUCCUGGAUUCCUCUAGCCGUUGAUGUGUGAAAUUGGAGCCACCUGGCAGCCCCAGUUGGUAGAGGAUGCCGGGCACCUGCUCAGGUUCCUGCUUCCUCUUUCUCUCUUCCUUCAUCUUCCUCCCUCCUUUCCUCACCUGGCUGCCACCUAAGUCUUCUCCUCCUUAGUCCAAUUCAGAGAACAGCCCGGACUGCCUGCCUUGAGGAGCCUUCCCAUCCUGCCCAUCUGGCCUCUAGCCAGCACCUUGGUGCCCUCCCCUCCCCUGCCCUCAUCCUAGGGUGAUGCCCAGUGGUGUUCAUAGCCAUUGUUGGGCUUGUUCAGCUCCUGUGGGUGCUGCGUCCUUCCAGCUGGGUGGGCUUCAGGAAGUGCCCCAUCUGGGCAUCAAAGGGUGGAGAUUGCAAGGCUGUGGGGGGACUUCUAGCCACAAAGAGCUGUGGGGACUUUUGAGUAGGAGGCUCUGUUGAAAAUGCACCGAAAGUGGCAAAGGGUAGUAGCUGGACCAAUGGGAAGGCCAUCAGGACAGCUGGGCAUUGUGGUCACCUGGGAGGGCUGCAGUGGCCUGGCAAAGGGUGGGCUGGGGGGCGUGGAGAGAAGUCAUAGGAUCCUGACUGUGUCUUGAAGGUAGAAGUGGCUGGGGGGACUGGAUAUGGGGUGCAAGAGAGAAACAUCUUUAUCUCGUGCAGUUAGAGACCUAAGUUUCUUUCUUUCUUUUUUAAAUAUUUUUUUUGUUAAAUUCUUUUAUUGGUACAUUGUAGGUAUACAACACAAUUACUUUUCUCUUUGGGAAUUGUACCUUUACAUGAUGCAUCUUGGUUCUGAUUUUUUCCCUAUUCCCAGCCCUCCCUUCACCCCCUCCACUUUUCCCUAUUUACAAAGACUUUAUUUCCAUUUUUUCCAUUUAGAGACCUAAGUUUCUACUUGAACUCAGCAAGGAGAGUGGAGGUGUUUAUCUUGCUUGUUGUCUAGGUAGGGUGGAAUUGUUCAGUUUGAGAUGCUGGUCGGACAGCCAAGGGGUGAUGACUAUUGAAGAAGAGGCUAGAUGCACAAACCUGAGCCCGGAAGUCUCUUUCCUCUGUCUCCUCACCUGGGCUGUGGCACUGACUUUGGUGAACACUCGUUUAGCUGUCACUGUGAGGGGAGUUUGUUUUGUUUUGAAUGAAGUUAACACUUGAAUUAAAAGACUGAAGAAAGCACAUCACCCUCUGUGAUGUGGGUGGGCCUCAUCAAAUCAGCUACAGACUCUCAGGGCAAAAGCAGCAGCAGGAAAUAGACAUUUUGACUACAUGCUGCCUUUCAACUACAGCUGCAGAAUCAGUGCUUCCUUGGUCUCAGGCUGCCAGCCUGCCCUGCACAUUCAGGCCUUGCUAGCCUCACGGUCAUGUGAGCCAAUCACACACACACACACACACACACACACACACACACACACACACCCUGUUGAUUCUGUUUCUCUGGAAAAUCCUCACUGAUAUAUGGAGUAAAGGGUAUACUUAGAUCCCCAAAUUUGGGAUAGAAAGGGAUGUAUUUGGAUUAGCAUUUGAUGAGACAAGUUUCUUCAGCCUUGAGGCUGGGUGUAAUCACCAAACAAGCAGAGAGGAGCGAGUCAGUUGGGCUGUACAACAGAGGUUGAGAGGUUCGGAAACUUGUGGGCGGUGUGUCUUUGUGUGGCUGACUGGUCUCUUCCAGGGUGCCAGGCUCCUCCCCAUUCCGCAGUGCUUCCUGGAGGUCUGGGAAGUGAGCUCUGUGGGCCGCCUCUUCAUUUGGGUGCCUCACCCUCCCCACAUCGUGGCCCUUCCAGCUUCCUGGGUAGCGGGGAGACAUCCAACAGAAAUUGAUUGUUCCGGCAUCUUCCUUCCAGUCCAUUUUCAGUUCCGCUGCCCCUCAGUCUCUUGAGGCCUCUUGGUACUGAGUAAUCCCAUUUAUUAAAACAUAUGCAGCUUCCUUACUGGCAAGUGUUGAUAAAAAUAGUUCUGCAGCCCCAAGGGGCAGGGUCAUUUGAACUGCAUGACUCGAAAACAUUUGGUGUGAAUAAUGAAAAGUGCAGGGCCAUGGUGAUGGAUUUCCCUCGCCCUCUUUGUUCCUUCCUCUUGUUGAGAGGCAGAAUGUUUAACCCGUAUUUUCCAAGAACUGCGUAGGUGGGUUGCCAGGGACAAUUGAUUUUUUAGAGAAGUAUUGUUCUUCUGGAUGUGGAAACCAUGAAGUAAAGCAUAACAUUGAGCAAGAGUCGUCCCGAUGGCCAGGCCCGGGCUAAUUAUGGGACAGUGUUGCAAUCCAUGCAUCCGGGCUGUCCUGUGGCAUAGGUGGAGGAUCCCUUGUCUGAAAUGCUUGAAGUCUCCUGCCAUACCACCCUGAACAUGCCCGAUCGCGUCUGAAAUGCUUGAAGUGUCGCGUUUUGGACUUGUUCAGAUUUGGGAAUAUUUGCAUGUAUAUAAUGAAAUGUCUUGAGUAUGGGAAAUUUAUUUAUGUUUCAUAGAUUCUUUCUGCACACGGCCUGAAAGUAGUUCUGUACAAGAGUUUCAAUGAUCUUGUGCAUGAAUCAGUUUCAUGGCUUUACGGUUUAUAACUAGAUGUCCCCCAAGAGCCUCCUCUGCUCACUGACGGAGCUUUGGGAGGUGCCUGGAUCAUGGGUACAGCUGACCGGGACGCCUGGCCAGAGGUGGGUCACUGGGAGGCGUGGCCUGGUGGCCUGGAGAGGUAGGACCCCCUCCGCAGCCCUCCUCCUCUGCUUCCUGCCUGCCUCGAUGUGAACAGGUCUUCCACCAGGGCCCUCCCACCAUCGCUGGCCAUGGAAGGACAGGGGCUUCCAAACUGUGAGCCAAAAUAAACUCCUCCUUUAAGCUGUGAGUGUCAGCAUUUUGUCCCCGCCAGGAGUGGUGCGGAAUUUUCCAUUUGUAGUGUCAUGUCAGCACUCAAGUUUCAAAUGUUGGAGCAUUAUGGAGUUUCAGAUCAGGGAUGGGCAGCCUGCAUAAGGUCAUCAUUUCUCCCCAGGAACAGUGCUCCAGGCCCAGGAUAAUCAAGGCCUUGCUCUAGUCCACCGUCAAGUGGAUCAUCUGCUUUCUUAGGCCGGGAUGGUUCUGAAUGGGAAGGGGGCAUCCUGCAGGGCAGAAGAGACCCGGGCUCUGUGUGCGGAGCUCUGAGCUCCGGCCCUGCCUCUGCCUUGCAUGGUGACCUGGGAGAGGCCCUCAGCUCUUGGGCAGCAGUGUCUCUAUCUGUGAGGAGUUGGGUGAGAUGGCUCCUAGGGAAGGGAACCCUGAACAUGGUGGGUGCCUGUCACCAGCAAAGGAGCCACCUUCCCUGAGCCCCAGCUUGCUGCAGUACAGUAGGCAUGGGCUUUGGAAUGUGACAAAGUGCUCUGACAUUCAGUUGUGGUCAGUGAGUUGGAAGGCUCAGUGGGUGGCGCCUACAGACAUACAAAGCCCCUAGUCUCCCACAGCAGCUCAGCAUCCCUGUGUCAUCAUAGGAUUUCACAGGCUGGGGCCACGAGGCCAGGUAGCACUUUUGACUUAUGAAGCUCUGAAAUCAGGACAGGUAUUCAAGAGGCCAGGGGAAGCAAAGCCAGACUGGAAGCUGGGUCAUCACAGUGCCGAUGGAUAAAGCAUCGCACGAGGUGUGGAAGCUUUGGUCCUCUAGGCCCAGACUUAGGCCCAGAGAGGAGAAGUAACUAGUGGAGGUCACCCUGAGACUGGAGGGCAAAGCUGGGCCAGGGGCCGGUGCUCUGAUCUGAACCCUGCUAUCUCUGUGUGGAGACAAGCGAGCAAACAAAAGGAAACGCAGCGCAGUGCCUGCCACACAGUAAGGACUCUCAGAAGUGAAAUGCAGUGAUUCUGCUUGCAACAACUGACCUCGCUCCAACACCCCCUUUGGCUGGUCAGCCUCUCUGAGCCCGGGUCGUGUCUCUGACACAGCACCAGCACUUAACCUCCGUGGGACAGUGAGGACUUCUGACGUUCAGAAUAAAAUGCCAGGAGCGGGCCCAGAGCAGUCGCUGUGACUGUGGCCACAUACUGUUGUCUUUGCCAUUGUCUGUCAGCACGUUGUGUUACACUUACAUGCUACUCAUCUUUGACCCUCCUAGGGUGGGGACAGCGUGUGCAUCACCACAUCCCCACCUUCUCCCACAGUUCUUGGUAUGUGGGUGAGGGACAUGGAUGGUAAGGUCCACAAGUGGAUGGCUAAAGGACAAACAAGCAGGCUGUAGUUUGUCGGACCACUUGGCCGGUUGUCUGAGGACUGUUUCCUGGAGUCUUAUCCUCUCGCCUCAGAAUCAGGCCUAGGACAACGUUUGGUUGUCCCAUUGUUCCCAGAUAACGCGCCCUAUCUGAGCGUUUCCGAGGGGACAGCUGGGGCACACCCUACGUGGCUGCUCUAUCGCCUGCUGCAUGUGGACCCCCACGGGUGCCAGUCCGCUGCCGCAAGGACCUUUCAUGUGGCCGGGCUGCCCUUCAUUCCUCCCCUGCCCCCUGUGAAAUGUACGUAAGGAAGCAUUUUUCCCUCAACCAUUCUGUUCUGGAAAACGCGUUAAAUAAAAACACUUGGUACUUGUCUGUCUCUUCAUAGUGUGACCCACAUCUUCUAGGUUGACCUCACAAACGCCUUGUCUGAUGAGUCAACUCUUAGCCCUCUUUUACCAUUGGAGAAACAGAGGCUCAAAAAUGCAAUGACUGCUAGGUUGCAUAGCAUUAGUAAGGCAGCCCAGGACUGAGCCAGCCUCUACCUCGACCCCGUGCUUUUCCCCCAUGCAGACCUGCCCGGCUGAAUGCGUUGAUCUUCUCUGCCCUUAACUGUGUCCAGCAGGGAUUUAAGAGGUCUGUUACCAACGUAAUGACCCGGGUGCUCCGAAGUCUGCUCGCUCUGAGUGACAUCCAGACCACCCGGGAGAGGUGGGAGCGUGUGAAUCCUGGUGAGCUGUGGUGCCUUCAGGAGAUAGCUCAGCAGCACAGUGGUGGGCACUUUCUCCUCCGCCAUGCUUCCCUCUCCCGUCGGAUUUGACCCUCUUAUCAGCUGCUCUUGAAGUGAGUUGGAUGUUGGAAAUACCUGGGGAAUCUAAAAGUCCUGCUGCCGGUGCCCUGCUCCUAACUGUUUUGGUUUCAUUUGGAACCCUGGGGCCUGGGCAUUGGAAUUGACAUCUCCCCAGGGACAUGCCCGUUUUAGUGUCCUUACUCUGGGAAAUGGGGGACUAACACGAAGCUGGCAGCCCCAACCCUACUUCAGGUAGAAGUUCUACCGUUCCUAAAGCAGACUCAGCUGAAACUCGCUCCGCUUUGCUCAGAUUCUGCACAGCUCAUGUGUGGGGAGAAGGGAAGCUGAGGGCCAAGGUGACGGGAACAGUCUCCCAGCUUCGUGAGCUGUGCCCUCCUAAGCGUCAGGUGCUUUUCCAUGCACUUUGUAGACCCCACCCAGCUCCCUUUCACGCUACCCCCAUUGCACAGACAAGAAGACUAUGCAGCAUCAGUAAGUAUGUUGUCAAGGUGACGGUGCAGAGGUGAGGUCUGAAGAGCAGUUUCCUGGCUCUGGAGGCCACUCCUGAGCUACACCUGCAGCCUUGCAGCUGACCUGGGAACCGCGCUGUCCCACUGCACAUGCGCCUGAGGAUUCCCCUCACCGGUCUGUCCUGGUGCUGCUGAAGCAGAGAUGCCCUUUGUAUCUUCUGGCCAUCUGGAAGUUUUCUGGUUGUGGUCAGUGGGUUCCUCCAAGGUUCCUUGAGCUCCAAAUUGCAUAGUUGGCCCUUGCUGUGCUUUCCUGGCCUGGGCUGGACAUGUGGAUGAGUCCUGAUCUCCAGGGGAGAUUUGCGUCUCUCCUGCCUUCACUGUCUCAGGGCCCCAGAAGAAGGCUGAGUAGCUCUGUGACAAGAGCUUGGCAUCUUGCUUAGUGCUCAGCUUGACUCUGGACCAGGCCACCGUGGGCAGAGGAGGCAGGGAGGGAGGAAGGGUUUCUUAUUUCAGAAGUGAACUCUUGAGUUGUCCUAGUGCUCUUGUGGACAUGUUGGCCGUUGCUCAGCAAGCACCAAGGCCUCAAGUGGGUGGGCUGAUGGCAGUGGAGACUUUGCUACUGUUUCAGCGAGGGACACGAAGGUCUGCUAAAACGUGCUGGGUGAAGUCUUCGAACUUCCCCUACAGAAGCACAGGCGCAGGUACAGAGUGAUUCAAAAUGGAAAGAAAAGGACUCAUUUUACAUGUUCACUAGUUGGAAAUUAGUUAAUCAGGAUAGCUCUAUAAAAUGGAAUGCUGAACAGCCAUUAGAAUUGAUAAUAGAAAGUGUGAGCUGAUGUAUACAUUCACUGGUUCAACUGAGCCUACCAGAAGAUGUACUUACUUCAAAACAUCAUGCUGUGAGCUGUUAGUAAAACGUACAAUUUUUGUUAAUUAAAAAUUAGUGGCUUUAUGAACUCACAGGGAACAGUCUUGAAGAUACAUUAAUAUCAAAGAGCAACAUUAACGUUAGCAAUGUUGACUGAAUAAAGCAAAAGCAAGGCGUUGACAGCACUGUGAGGUUUGCUGACAACUCUGUGCUUAUGUGCAGUCCCUAGUCCCAUAUUGGCCCCUGAAAUUCUGCACACACAAGAGCACUCACAUAAGAGCUUUGCUGUCUGUCGCUUUCCUGCCCCAGCCGUCAGUCCUAGUGCUGACCUGGGACCUUCCUGAAAGCAGGAAGGGCUGGCCUGGCGUGCAGGGGCAUGGCAGGGCCACACCCAGAGCACCUGUCAGAUUGGUUUUCUGUGGGUGUUGGUGGAUGAAUGCAAAGAGCAGAGUUCUCUUUCACCAUUUCCUCCUACCUACUGCUCCUUGAACACACGCAGCUGGAUCUAAGUCCCUUCUCCCUCUCCCAAGUCCUGUCCCUGCCUCCACUUUGUUCCUUGAGAUUUUCUCCUCCACAAGGCUUCCUCACUGUCUCCAGGUUACAGUGAAGCAAGGAGGAGAAGAAACUAAGCAGACAUUGUCAGUUAGGUAGGGCGGGUCUGACUUAAUUGAUUAAUUUAGUCAUAGGAGCCAAGCCAACCCAGAAGCUGGGAUCAGUCUCCCCCUGAUGGUGUGCUGGUGAGUCAGACUUGCUGGGGUUUGAGUCCACAUGGCUGUCUGUGACUGUGGCUGGGUUAUUUAACCUUGCGGGAUCUCCAUUUCCUGAUCUGUAAAGAAGGCUAAAAGUGCUUCUCUUGAGGUUGUAGUGCGGAUUAAAUGUGAUAACACGAGUGAAAGUGCCUUUGAUGCAGAAGGAAGGGCAAAGUGCUUAUUGUGUUGGGAGCAGAGUGAGAGGGCCCCAUUGUUCUCAGGGGCCUCCUCCUUCCUAGGUAGAAGUCUCAUUCCCAGGGCAGAAAAGGUUCUCAUUUGGCUCUCAUUCUUUCAUGCAGUGCCCUUCUCUCAGCCGCUUUCUCUCUUAGGUUUCAGCCUAAGCAAAUAAAUUAUCCUGCUCUACCGGGCUCUGUGUUCUGUAGCCAGCCAUAUGUUGGAGCUUGAUAGAGAUUGUUAUCGGGCCGGAUAAUGUUACCCAGCAAGGGGUGACAUUUCUUAUCAGAAGCCCUGCCGAAUCAGAGAUAGGAGGGCUUUCUUUUCGCUGGCCACCAGGUCUGUGUGCAGGGUUGGCAGGGAAGUGUGAGAGGAUCCUCCUGGGAGUGGACAGCCGGGGCCGUCUCGGCUUGGGUUGUCCUUCGUCUCCUGAGACAGACACUCUGGAUAGCCUGCCUAGUUGGAAGUAGCCCUUCGGAGAUCUUUUGUGCUUUGGAAGCACUUGCUAGAGACCAGGUAGGGGAAUGUGAAUGAGGAAGCGGGAAGUGCUGUGAUGCUGGCCCGGCCGUGGAUGGAUGCUGGCCUUUGCGGGACCCUCCCCUUCCUGGGACAGGCAGACAGGCCCCUGCCGCAGAGCGUGGCCUGCGAACUCUGCUGUGGCUUUGCAAGGCGGAGGCUGCUGAGCCCUGGUGCCCACCAAGGGCUGGGCUCUUGUAGUGUUGGUUUCCGGGGGGCUCCCUUGGGCCCCGCCAAGCCCACCCCAUCCUCCUUGGCCUUCUUCUGGCCUCCUUGGCCAUCCUUCUCUGGCCUUGUUCCAGGUCAGCCUGUGUAGAUGUCCUCAAGGGCAGAUGUGACCUGGGGCUCCUGUACUUCCCAUUUGGGAGGCACUGGCUGGAUGGGAAGGCAGCAAGAGAGUGGGGGCCAGGGUUUAUUCUUCCUUUGCUAUCCAAUGGGUCCCUCACUGUUUCUAUACAGAAGACCUUGGGUGUGAAUCUUGAUCCUGGUAUGGGUUUGCUAUGAUAUCAGGCAAGUUGGGCCUCUUUCUACUUCAGUUCUUCAUCUGCGGCCUAUGGAUGACAUUACUUUCCUCUGUGUCCCUCAGCACAUGUUUCUGGGUCUUGUUGAUCUCCAGCUUUGCAUUGGCCCUGGGAUUCUAGAGCAAGGGGCAGUGCUGAGCUCCCAGUGUUCCCGUCUUGAGAUCAGAGCUCAUUGCACAUGAGAGAUCCAGGAUGGGCAGAAGAGAUUAGAGUUCACCAUGUGAUUUGGAGCUGCAGUCUGUGUUGUAGACACAUGCUCAGGGCUUGUCCCCUCCUGAUAUUUUGGGAAGUCCUACCCUGUCCAGUCCUGCUGUCAAGUAAUAAUCUGCUAUCAUCAGAAAGGGAAGAAGAAGUGGUUUUUGUUCCUUCCUGGAUCAUUCGAGUCAGCACUUCCUGCCUCUGCUUCCUUCCUGUUGACCUGAUGAUCCCUGAGGCUUGGUUUGUUCCAUCUCUUUUCCCUCCUAUCCAUACUGAGCUUUCUAUUAGGGGAUAGAGAUUUUCUGUCUUACUGACUUUUCCUUUCUCUCACAUGUCUUCCCAUUGGCCAACUCAAGAUUUUGAAAGCAGGAGUCUGACUAUGUCCCUCUCCAGCUCAGUCACAGUCAAUAGGACAGUCACCCCCAGGACUGAAGUCAGACCUUUCAGUAUAGCACUCACGGUCCACUUCAACAUGAGCUUACCCAUCCUGAUCACCUCUGAACCUCUUGUAUCAGGUGUCAGUCCACUUAAGCAGGUUUUACCAAGAGGUAAAACCUUUAAACCUACCACUUUUUCUCUGUGACUUCUGGGCUUUGAUCCCAUCAUUUCUUCUCCUGUGGAUGCCUGAGAGGUCUACGGGCUCUGGUUGGGUUCAGACUCCAGCGCCACCAGUUGCUGGCUCUAUGGCCAUGAGCUAGUCACUUCACUGCACUCCGCUGUCUUUUGGUUGCUGUUUGUAAUAUCUUAAGCCUGUCUGUAUGUCCUUAAAUAUGCAGAAGCAAGUUUCUUACAUCCACCGUAUCGUUGGAUCUUGUUUUUAUUUAUCCAUUCAGCUACUCUGUAUUUGAUUGGAGAAUUUAACCUAUUUGCAUCCAAAGUAAUUACAGAUAGGCAAGGAUUUAGGAUUGCAAUUUUUUUUUCUGGCUAUUUUAUAGUUCCUUUAUUCUUUUUUUCCCUCUUGUACUGUUUUUCUUUAUGAUUUAAUGUGGUUUUUUGCUUGUUUGUUUCAGUAGUGUGCUUUGAUUAUUUUCUUCUUGAGUAUCUACUAUAGGC